UGGUGGAGUGAUUUGUCUGGUUAAUUCCGUUAACGAACGAGACCUCGACCUGCUAAAUAGUUCGGCGAAUCCUUCGGGAUUCGUUCGUGACUUCUUAGAGGGACUAUCGGUGUGUAGCCGAUGGAAGUUCGAGGCAAUAACA
rnacentral:rRNA from 1 species